rnacentral:rRNA from 1 species
AUUGAACGCUGGCGGCAUGCCUUACACAUGCGAGUCGAACGGCAGCGGACCUUCGGGUGCCGGCGAGUGGCGAACGGGUGAGUAAUGCAUCGGAACGUACCUUUCAGUGGGGGAGAACGUAGCGAAAGUUACGCUAAUACCGCAUAUUCUGUGAGCAGGAAAGCAGGGGAUCGCAAGACCUUGCGCUGAUUGAGCGGCCGAUGUCAGAUUAGCUAGUUGGUGAGGUAAAGGCUCACCAAGGCGACGAUCUGUAGCGGGUCUGAGAGGAUGAUCCGCCACACUGGAACUGAGACACGGUCCAGACUCCUACGGGAGGCAGCAGUGGGGAAUUUCGGACAAUGGGGGCAACCCUGAUCCAGCCAUGCCGCGUGAGUGAAGAAGGCCUUCGGGUUGUAAAGCUCUUUCGGCCGGGAAGAAAUCGCACGGGCUAAUACCCUGUGUGGAUGACGGUACCGGAAUAAGAAGCACCGGCUAACUACGUGCCAGCCGCCGCCGUAAGAC